AGGUUGUUGGUGAGGUAAAAGCUCACCAAGCCGACGAUCUGUAGCUGGUUUGAGAGAACGACCAGCCACACUGGGACUGAGACACGGCCCAGACUCCUACGGGAGGCAGCAGUGGGGAAUAUUGGACAAUGGGGGCAACCCUGAUCCAGCGACGCCGCGUGGGUGAAGAAGGCCUGCGGGUUGUAAAGCCCUUUCGGUGGGGAAGAAAAGUUGCGACCUAACACGUUGCGACCUUGACGUAACCCACUAAAGAAGCACCGGCUAACUCUGUGCCAGCAGCCGCGGUAAUACAGAGGGUGCGAGCGUUAAUCGGAAUUACUGGGCGUAAAGCGCGCGUAGGCGGCUUUUCAAGUCGAUUGUGAAAUCCCCGGGCUUAACCUGGGAACUGCAGUCGAGACUGUCUAGCUAGAGUAUGGGAGAGGGAAGUGGAAUUUCAGGUGUAGCGGUGAAAUGCGUAGAUAUCUGAAGGAACAUCAGUGGCGAAAGCGACUUCCUGGACCAAUACUGACGCUCAUGUGCGAAAGCGUGGGGAGCAAACAGGAUUAGAUACCCCGGUAGUCCACGCCAUAAACGAUGAGAACUGGAUGUCGGAGGGGUCUGCCCUUCGGUGUCGUAGCUAACGCGUUAAGUUCUCCGCCUGGGGAGUACGGCCGCAAGGUUGAAGCUCAAAGGAAUUGACGGGGACCCGCACAAGCGGUGGAGCAUGUGGUUUAAUUCGAUACAACGCGAAGAACCUUACCUGGUCUUGACAUCCUAGGAACCUCGCAGAGAUGUGGGGGUGCCUUCGGGAACCUGGAGACAGGUGCUGCAUGGCUGUCGUCAGCUCGUGUCGUGAGAUGUUGGGUUAAGUCCCGCAACGAGCGCAACCCUUGCCCCUAGUUGCCAGCAUUAAGUUGGGAACUCUAAGGGGACCGCCGGUGACAAACCGGAGGAAGGUGGGGAUGACGUCAAGUCAUCAUGGCCCUUAUGACCAGGGCUACACACGUGCUACAAUGGCCAGUACAAAGGGUUGCCAACCCGCGAGGGGGAGCCAAUCCCAGAAAGCUGGUCGUAGUCCGGAUCGCAGUCUGCAACUCGGCUGCGUGAAGUCGGAAUCGCUAGUAAUCGUGAAUCAGCGAUGUCACGGUGAAUACGUUCCCGGGUCUUGUACACACCGCCCGUCACACCAUGGGAGUUGAUUGCACCAGAAGUAGGUAGCCUAACCGCAAGGAGGGCGCUUACCACGGUGUGGUCAAUGACUGGGGUGAAAUCGUAACAAGGUAGCCGUACGGGAACGUGCGGC
rnacentral:rRNA from 1 species